rnacentral:rRNA from 1 species
CAGCCGCCCGCGGUAACACCUGCAGCUCAAGUGGUAGCCGAUUUUAUUGGGUCCUAAGCGUCCGUAGCCGGGCUGGCAAGUCCUUUGUGAAAUCUGGCGGCUCAACCGUUCGGCUUGCAAGGGAAACUGUCGGCCUUGGGGCCGGGAGACGCUGAAGGUACUCUGGGGGUAGGGGUGAAAUGCUGUAAUCCUCGGGGGACCACCARUGGCGAAGGCRYUCWRCSAGAACGGAYCCGACGGUGAGGGACGAAAGCUGGGGGAGCGAACCGGAUUAGAUACCCGGGUAGUCCCAGCCGUAAACGAUGCUCGCUAGGUGUUGGGGACGCUUCGACCGCAUCAGGUGCCGCAGGGAAGCCGUUAAGCGUGCCACCUGGGAAGUACGGCCGCAAGGCUGAAACUUAAAGGAAUUGGCGGGGGAGCAC